GAGCAAAAGCGGCGUGUGCUCGUGGAGAGUCCGGUGAGCCGAGAGCCAGGGAAGAGGUGCUGCUGGAACUGCUCCCGUUUCCCGAAGGAACAACGCAGGUCUGGAGGUGAGCAGCGGAGCUCAAUUAAUUAUGCUUUGUGAAGUGCUUCUGAUCCUCUGAUGGAAACAUCUCCGGAGCCUUCCUGCUCACCCCUUGCAUGCGGGAAGAGCUCCGCAGCUGCAAGGGAAUGAAUGGGCAGGAAGAUUCACCUACAUCUCGCGUCGACUUGACUUG